UGGCUCAGUGGUUAAGAGCACUGGCUGCUCUUCCAGAGGACCUGGGUUCUAUUCCCAG
rnacentral:tRNA from 1 species